rnacentral:snoRNA from 1 species
GGGGUCUGCUCUGAGUAGGGGGCCUCAAGAGUGACUCCUCUUUUCACCACAUAGCUACAGGAAUCUGGGUUUGCUCCUCACAGGUGGCAGGAUACUUUGGCCUUCCUGUGACAUCAUGUCCUAUACAU